rnacentral:rRNA from 1 species
GAUGAACGCUGGCGGCAUGCCUUACACAUGCAAGUCGAACGGUAACAGGUCUUCGGAUGCUGACGAGUGGCGAACGGGUGAGUAAUACAUCGGAACGUGCCCGAUCGUGGGGGAUAACGAAGCGAAAGCUUUGCUAAUACCGCAUAAGAUCUACGGAUGAAAGCAGGGGACCGCAAGGCCUUGCGCGAACGGAGCGGCCGAUGGCAGAUUAGGUAGUUGGUGGGAUAAAAGCUUACCAAGCCGACGAUCUGUAGCUGGUCUGAGAGGACGACCAGCCACACUGGGACUGAGACACGGCCCAGACUCCUACGGGAGGCAGCAGUGGGGAAUUUUGGACAAUGGGCGAAAGCCUGAUCCAGCCAUGCCGCGUGCAGGAUGAAGGCCUUCGGGUUGUAAACUGCUUUUGUACGGAACGAAAAGACUCUGGUUAAUACCUGGGGUCCAUGACGGUACCGUAAGAAUAAGCACCGGCUAACUACGUGCCAGCAGCCGCGGUAA